AUGAAGAGAGCUUGCUCUCUGAUUUUAGCGGCGGACGGGUGAGUAACACGUGGGCAACCUGCCCUACAGAUGGGGAUAACUCCGGGAAACCGGGGCUAAUACCGAAUAAACAGUUUGUCCGCAUGGACAAACUCUGAAAGACGGUUUCGGCUGUCACUGUAGGAUGGGCCCGCGGCGCAUUAGCUAGUUGGUGGGGUAAUGGCCUACCAAGGCGACGAUGCGUAGCCGACCUGAGAGGGUGAUCGGCCACACUGGGACUGAGACACGGCCCAGACUCCUACGGGAGGCAGCAGUAGGGAAUCUUCCACAAUGGACGAAAGUCUGAUGGAGCAAUGCCGCGUGAGCGAAGAAGGUUUUCGGAUCGUAAAGCUCUGUUGUAAGGGAAGAACACGUACGGGAGUAACUGCCCGUACCUUGACGGUACCUUAUUAGAAAGCCACGGCUAACUACGUGCCAGCAGCCGCGGUAAUACGUAGGUGGCAAGCGUUGUCCGGAAUUAUUGGGCGUAAAGCGCGCGCAGGCGGUUCUUUAAGUCUGAUGUGAAAGCCCACGGCUCAACCGUGGAGGGUCAUUGGAAACUGGGAGAACUUGAGUACAGAAGAGGAAAGCGGAAUUCCACGUGUAGCGGUGAAAUGCGUAGAGAUGUGGAGAACACCAGUGGCGAAGGCGGCUUUCUGGUCUGUAACUGACGCUGA
rnacentral:rRNA from 1 species